GGGUCAGUAGGUUGGUCGUGCCACCGGUACGUACUGGUCUCACUGAUUCCUCCUUCCUGAAGAACCGUAAUGCCAUUAAUUUGGUGUUGCGGGGAAACAGGACUGUUACUUUGAAAAAAUUAGAGUGUUUAAAGCAAGCUAACGCUCGAAUACAUUAGCAUGGAAUAAUGGAAUAGGACGAUCGAUCCUAUUUUGUUGGUUUCUAGGAUUGACGUA
rnacentral:rRNA from 1 species